rnacentral:lncRNA from 1 species
AACUCUCGGGGCGCUCCCUAGCCCUGGGUGGGUGGAGCGGGGGAAGCGGAGUACGUUGGACCCGGCUCCGCCCUACCCCACGGGGCCGCCUGGAGAGGUGCUGGGAGCUGGGUGGAGCUUAGAGGAAUUAAACUUUGGCCCUGCGCCUCGUCCAGCCUAGGUUCCACCCUUUUCUGGGAACGCUGGAGUGCAGUGGCACCAUCUCGGCUCACUGCAACCUCUGGCUCCCAGGUUCAAGCGAUUCUCCUGCCUCAGCCCCCUGAGUAGCUGGGAUUACAGGCACGCGCCACCACUCCCAGUUUACACCCCGCCACUCCUGAGCACCGCACACCGGCUUCCUCCCAGUCCCUCAUCUGAGAACUCAUGAAGCCACUUGGAAUCCCUCUCUGCUUUGCCUGGCUCAUUCCAUGUCAAUUUCAGAUCUUCACUUCAGGUCAGCUCCAAGGAGGCUAUCCUUGCCCAUCUUCCUAAAAUAGAGCUCUCAAAACCUGGCUGUUUUCCUUCAGAGCACUGGCCUCCAAUUGCUCCGGUAGAUUGCAAAUGACCUGCUUUCUUUCUGUUCCCGGGCGUUUGGACCCCUGUCUUGGACCGCUGUCGGAUAGUAAAUCCCAAGUAAGGUACCUGCCGUCGGCAGAUUUGAGCUUUCUUCUUGGACACCUAAUACCCAGAGUCCUCCAGGCUCCGGUAGAUUGCAAAUGACCUGCUUUCUUUCUGUUCCCGGGCGGCAUCGGACCCGUCGGAGAGUAAAUCCCAAGUAAGGUACCUGCCGUUGGCAGAUUUGAGCUUUCUUCUUGGACACCUAAUACCCACAGUCCUCCAGGCUCCGGUAGAUUGCAAAUGACCUGCUUUCUUUCUGUUCCCGGGUGGCAUCGACCCGUCGGAGAGUAAAUCCCAAGUAAGGUACCUGCCGUUGGCAGAUUUGAGCUUUCUUCUUGGACACCUAAUACCCACAGUCCUCCAGUAAAUCCCAAGCAAGGUACCUGCCGUCAGCAGAUUUGAGCUUUCUUCUUGGACACCUAAUACCCACAGUCCUCCAGGCUCCGGUAGAUUGCAAAUGACCUGCUUUCUUUCUGUUCCCGGGCUGCGUUCGGACCCCUGUCGGAUAGUAACUCCCAAGUAAGGUACCUGCCGUCGGCAGAUUGGAGCUUUCUUCUUGGAGACCUAAUACCCACAGUCCUCCAGGCUCCGGUAGAUUGCAAAUGACCUGCUUUCUUUCUGUUCCCGGGCUGCGUUCGGACCCCUGUCGGAGAGUAAAUCCGAAGGCUGGUUGAAGGCUCCAUACAGUAUCUCUAUCUGCCUUGGACACUUCAGGCAUAUGUGCCAUAUAUGACAGAACAUCUUGCACAACAGUCUGAAUUUGCUGCAACCCUUCUCUUGCUCUGGGCCCCACUCAAAACCGGCAGACUUACAAAUUCCUUCGUAAAUGGGCCAGGGCAGCAUGGUAAAAUGUGCUGUAUAUUACCUCCUAAAACACCCGUCAAGUAUUUUUUUUUAACUCUUUCCUAGCAUAGGAGUACAUGAUGCAGCAAUUUGUUUUCAUUUGAAGGAGAUAACCAACAUGCCUCAGGCCACUGAACUCCUAGAAAUGUCACAUGCUCAACAUAUUAUCCAUAUAAUGGACUAGUUCUGCAUUUUAUGGGAUGUUGUGAUUAUCAAGACCCCUGAAGCCUUGCUUAUGACAGAACAGGAGAGUUGCCAUAGACCUGAGCUCAAAUCGUGAAGAUGUACUGCUGUCCCUGCCAUGUGAAAGCAAACACCUUCCAAAAGUGCCUGUAACCAAUACAGCAGGAAAAAAAGUAUAUUUUACAUAAAUAGCUGCAUCCCACAUGUCAAAAGCCAUUUUGAUUUACUCUAGUAAGAAUAACAUAUUUGAAACAGCAGCAGCAAUCAAUUAAAUAUUGAUAAUAAGCAAUGGAGAGAUAACAGGAAAUCACGUAGAAUAUAUCAUUGUUUGCCAAAUAUUCUGGCUCCUUUCCUACUGAGGAAUCAUACUUCCUUAACUGCAGUCUUGUCCACGUGACUUGCAAAUGAAAUGUGAACAAAAGUGACAUGCGUCACCUUUAGACAGAAGAUCUAAGAGCUGAUGUGUGCUUUGUUAUGAUGUAUUUUCCCUCUGCCAUAAGACUAAGCAAUGUUCCAAACAGAGGCUGAUCCACAGCCUCCAUCUGGAGUGAAGAUAAAAUGGAAAAGAGCUUCAGUCAAGCUGCAGUGGACACAUAGCAAGAAUAAGAAGUUAACUUUUGUUGGCCAGGCGUGGUGGCUCACGCCUGCAAUCCCAACACUUUGGGAGGCCAAGGCGGGAGGAUCACUUGAGGUCAGGAGUUCGAGACCAGCCUGGCCAACAUGGUAAAACACUGUCUCUACUAAAAAUACAAAAAUUAGCCAGGUGUGGUGGGGGGCACCUGUAAUCCCAGCUAUUCAGGAGGCCAAGGCUGGAGAAUCGCUUUUACUUGGGAGUCGGAGGUUGCAGUGAGCCGAGAUCAUGCCACUGCACCCCAGCCUGGGCAACAGAGCGACACUUUUGUUGUCUGCCACUGGGAUUUUUGAUGACACUACCAAAGCCUAAAAUAGCCUGACCCAACAUAUACAGUCUCAGAGAUUAGCAACAGUUGAGAGUCAGUGUUCAGCGAUCCUGAAACAGUCCCAAGUAUUUUCCUCUCCCAUGACAAUGGCCAUGGGUCUCUUAGGGCUUGAAGAAUGAUUUUUAGUAUAUAUUGCAGCAAUGUCAGUGGGCUCCAGGUCUGCAAAAUUGUUCAGCUCCCAGAACUGGGGGAAGGGCCAUGACUAUUAUGGUGAUCCAAAUUAGAAUUCUACUUACCUGAUAAUUUCUAAUUAUGUAGAUCAACAUAUAUUUUAGUAGGCUAUUUUAUUCCUAGAGAUACUACCAAAGACCCUCACAAGUCAAAAACAUUCAUUUUACCACUGUGGCCCUGCUGCCCAUGAAAGUAACUGUGCCCACUGUGUCUCUGGUGUUAAACACUGUCACUUGGUCUCUGAAAUAAGGAAGGCAAUUUAAAGAGUAGCAUUUCUUAUUGUCACCCCCAGCAGGCAGAGGAUACCCGCUACAAAGCUCCUAAAGGGAAAUGGAGCUCUCCUCCGCACAUUUUUUUUUUGUAAGAGAAGGUCUUACUCUGUCACGCAGGCUGGAGUGCACUGUCAUGAUGACAGCUCACUGUGGCCUUGACCUCCUGGGCUCAAGCCAUCCUUCCACUUCAACCUCCUGAGUAGCUGGGACUAGAGGCAUGCACCACCAUGCCUGGCUAAUUUUUUAAUUUUUUAUAGAGAUGGGGUCUCCCUACAUUGCCCAGGCUGGUCUCAAACUCUUAGGCUCAAGUGAUACUCUCGCCUUGGCCUCCCAAAGUGCUGGGAUUACAGGCCUGAGCCACCACACCCAGCCUGCACAUUUCUUAAAACCUCAUUAAAGGGAGUGUCCUCUGGGCCCUGAGGGACACAGUCAAGGGAUGAAUUUUUUUUAUAAUCUUAGUGUGAAGGUCCACAUAUGAUGCAAAAUAACAAUGGCUGCAUGAACGUGAUCCCAACUUGUUCCCACAAGGGUCAGGUGGCUAACUUCAUAGGAUAUUCUACCUGGCUCUGUCUGCCCUCCUACCUAGUGGUGAACAGAGUGCUGGCAAAUGUUUAACAACCAGAUCUCCAGAGCAAAAACAAAACAAAGGCCUGAUUUGUAGCAUCUGUCAGUAUCUGCAGUAUAAGCACUCCCAUUGUGUCCAGAAUUUAUUUCUUCUGGUGGAUUCUUGGUCUCACUGACUUCAAGAAUGAAGCCAGCCGGGCGCGGUGGCUCACGCCUGUAAUCCCAGCACUUUGGGAGGCUGAGGCGGGUGGAUCACGAGGUCAGAAGAUCGAGACCAUCCUGGCUAACACGGUGAAACCCCGUCUCUACUAAAAAUACAAAAAAUUAGCUGGGCGCCUGUAGUCCCAGCUACUAGGGAGGCUGAGGCAGGAGAAUGGCGUGAAUCCGGGAGGCGGAGGUUGCAGUGAGCUGAGAUCAGGCCACUGCAUUCCAGCCUGGGCAACAGAGCAAGACUCCAUCUCAAAGAAAAAAAGAAUAAAGCCACGGACCUCGCAGUGAGUGUUACAGUUCUUAAAGGUGGCGUGUCUGCAGUCGUUUGUUCCUCUCUGUGGGUUGGUGGUCUGGCUGACUAAGGAAAUGAAGCCGCAGGCCCUGGCAGUGAAUGCUACAGCUCUUCAAGUUGGUGCGGACCGAAAGACUGAGCAGCAGCAAGAUUUAUUAAUUAAGAGCGAAAGAACAAAGAUCUCCGGGCGUUGAAGUGGACCCUAGCGGGUUGCUGCUGCUGGCUCAGGUGGCCAGCUUUUAUUCCCUUAUUUGGCCCCCAUCCAUGUCCUGCUGAUUGGUCCAUUUUACAGUGUGCUGAUUGGUCCAUUUUACAGAGUGCUGACUGGUCCAUUUUUACAGAAUGCUGAUUGGCGCAUUUACAAUCCUCUAGCUAGACAUAGAGCGCUGAUUGGUGCAUUUACAAUCCUCUAGCUAGACAGAAAGUUCUCCAAGUCCCCACCCAACCCAGAAGCCCAGUUGGCUUCACCUCUCACCAUCAUGGCCAAUAUCAAGCUAUCAACAAUGUCAACGUGCAGCUGGGAAGAUGUGCAAUAGCACAUUUUACAGUAUUUCUACCAGACAGAUACAACAGACAGAAAUAACCUCAAGAGCACAGACACUAGUGAAUAAUUAGGAAGUGGUGAAGUUUAUUUGCCUUUGUCUUUAAUAUAAUCUAUUUAACUAUGUUUAUAUAACUUAAUUGUUAAUAAUGUCUGUAAUAACCGGCCCACAAAUUUCCUGAAAGUGUGACAAUCUGCUCUCAUACGCUGCUGGACCAGUUCCAGCACGCCACUGUUCCUGCCCCAGUUGUGGGAUCUGCUCUAACCUCCAGCUGCCCCACGCCUCAGCAUACAGUCACAGCGAAGGCAUGGUGGGCAAACUUCUGAGUUACAUGGCCACAGCGGUUUUUUGUUUGCUUGUUUGUUUUUGUAUGUUUGUUUGUUUAGAGACAGUUUGCUCUGUCCCCCAGGCUGGAGUGCAGUGGCGUAAUCGUGGCUCACUGCAGCCUCAAACUCCUGGGAUCAAGAGAUCUUCCCACCUCAGCUUCCCAAGGGGCUGGGACUACAGGCACAUACCAACACACCCAGUUAAUGUUUUUAAUUUUUUUUUAAGACAGAGUCUCACUCUGUCGCCCAGGCUGGAGUGCAGUGGCACGAUCUCUGCUCACUGCAAGCUCCGCCUCCCAGGUUCAUGCCAUUCUCCUGCCUCAGCCUCCCAGCUAGCUGGGACUACAGGUGCCCAUCACCACGCCUGGCUAAUUUUUUGUAUUUUUAGUAGAGACGGGGAUUCACCAUGUUAGCUAGAAUAGUCACGAUCUCCUGACCUCAUGAUCCGCCCGCCUCGGCCUCCCAAAGUGCUGGGAUUACAGGCGUGAGCCACCGUGCCCAGCCAAUUUUUUAAAAUUUUUUGAGGCCAGGAACAGCAGCUCCUGCCUGUAAUCCCAGCACUUUGGGAGGCCGAAGCAGGAGGAUCUCCUGAGCCUAGGAGUUCAAGACCUGCCUGGGCGAUAUAGGGAGACCCCAUUUCUACAAAAAAUUUAAAAAUUAGCAGGGUGUGGUGGUGCGUGCCUGUAGUCCCAGCUACUCGGGAGGCUGGGGUGGGAGGAUUACCUGAACUGGGAGGUGAAGGUUUCAGUGAGCUGAGAUCACACCACUGCACUCCAAUCUAGGUGAGAGACCUUGCUUCAAAAAAAAAAUUGAGCUCCUGGGCUCAAGCAAUCCUCCUGCCUUGGCCUCCCAAAGCACUGGGACUUUUACAGGCACCACCAGUUAUUACAGAACUCAAAAGCAACUGUGCACUGGACCACUCUGUAUUGUGUUCGGUGAGGCCAUGCCCGCGUAUAGAUACAGGAAUGCUGAGGAACAGCACUGAAGAGUGACCUAAACAGCAAUCACCAACUGCUGGUGUUUGGCUUUGUUCCUCAUAUGAAAGGAUUUGAAGCCCAGGGAGUAGGCUGGUUGAAUGAAAAAUAUUUGCUUGACACGAUAGUUGCUAUUUCUAGAUGAAUUCAGGGAACUAUGGGAGCCUCUCACAAGCAUGAAAAAUCCAAGUAUUCAGAUGGAAGUUGGGGCUCUUAUUUUCCAGCUUGGGCCUGUACCAGGGCUACAAGGACAUACAAUGCUAAAUCAAUUAAAAACCAAAAUCUACUCAAAACCAUUUAUUUCAAAAAAGUUCUGGAGAUGGAUGGUGGCGAUGGUUACACAGCAAUGUGAAUGUGCUUAAUGUCACUGAACUGUACGCUUAAAAAUGGUUAGGAUGGUAAAGUUUUUUUUUUUUUUCCUUAGGGGGAUCCUUUAUUUCAUUCACUUCCUCCUUACAAGGUGAAAUUUCAAUCUGUACAGGUUGUGUCUGCCAGUUCAGUCCACAGCUCAGAGUAUCACCUUGUCCUCAUUCCAUGGUAUAAGCUGUUGUGGGGGGACAGGUCUGAGGGUCGUGGAUUCACUGGACUGGAUGGGACAUGAUCCAGAACUCCACUCCGUUUGGCUUCCCAAGGAUCCCACCACCUCAUUCUAAUCAGUGAUCAUUGAGGAAAUGCAUUGUAUUCCUAUUCACUAUUUCAAAGAUCAGGCCUACCUCAUUGGCAUAUUAAGAAAGUUUUCUCAAGUAUAUUUAGUGUUUAUCAUUUUACUAUAGUUCUUCAAAUGUCUGACAUUCAUCCUUUCCCUACCUCUACAUUCCUUUCUUUUUCACAUUAUCUUUCUUGAUUGCUUUUUAAUAGAAAAACAAACAAAGACAUGGAUUUACUGUGCAUAUUAGCAGAUCCAUACUGGAAAAUGCAUGGAGGUUUCAUAUACACCACUUACAGAUGCAGAAAGGCAGUGAACUCCUCCGGAGUAGCUGUCAGGUCACCAUUGAGGUCUGCAGCUUUGAAUCUUCUCUCAUCACGUGGCAGCAUCUUUUUAAAGGUGUGAUGAUCUGAAGAAUCAUGAAACUCUGCGGGGUUUCCUAGGUUUUCAGCUCCUCAGUAGUGACAAAGCCAUACCCAUCAUUGUCGAUUCGAUCAACAAUCUUCCCUAGCCUCUCCUUGCUCUCGUCCGGGGUGAGCUCGUCGAAGUUCUUGGAGUCCUCCUUGCCCAGGAAGGCCUCGUGGUCGUACUGGAAGCUCUGGUUGUCCUCAGGGGGCCGCUCGCCCAGCUCCGAGUCGGGCCGCACCACGCGCUCUUUGCGCACCGUGGGCUUGGCCCGCAGAACCCGCGGCGCCAGCACCAGCGCCAGCAGCAGCCCCAGGGCUAACCCCAGGCGGCCACCGCGCGCCAUCGUCCCGAGGAGAGGGCGGCCGGGAGGGAGACGCUGAGCGAGCGACAACAGCGGCAGCUCGGGAAUGGGGGCUCGGAGCGCGGCGGCCAAGUUUUAUGUUAUGUAUAUUUUACAAGUAAAAAAAUUUUUUCACCUCAGCCUGAACUGAACACUAGCUGACAGACGUUUUGAUUUCUUUGACCAUCACGGAAUCGUGGCCAAGCGCGGUGGCUCACAUCUGUAAUCCCAACACUUUGGGAGGUCAAGAUGGGCGGAUUGCUUGAAUCCAGGUGUUUGAGAUCAGCCUGGGCAACAUGACAAAACCCUGUUUCUAGUAAAAAUACAAAAAUUAACCAGGCUCAAGCCAUGACCAUGCACCAUUGCACUCCAGCCUAGGCGACAGAGCAGGACCCUGUCUCAAAAAAAAAAAAAAAAAAAAAAAAAAAAAAGAAGAAGAAAUCUCAGCAGGCUGAGAUGGAACUCAUUCUUCUCAUGAAGAACGUGGCAAGCAUUAUACAGAGGGGCCAUAGUCUGGAAAGCAGGAGAUGCUUACAGACAUAUAAGUUGUUUCCAGUGUUUUGCUCUUGGUACUCAUGGUUCCACUAUUUACAUCAACCUUUUGAGAAACAUAUUUAUACACUGUCUUAUACUUCCCUCCUUUGCUACAGAAUGAAUCUACUUGUAACCUACCAAAAAUUUACCCUGUCACAUUUCCCCAGCUGCUGGUUUAAAAAUAAAUAUCCUGGAUUUAAAGCCAAUUGUGUCUAACAGGUGCCACCAUCCAAGUGAGGAUUUCACUGUUCACAGGCAUUUGAGACACACCAGCGGCCGGCGGUUCUCACUGCUCUUCAUAUGGAGGCAACCAUAUAUGGGUAAGUCAUUUAGUCUCUUAGGUAGGCGAACUGAGGCCAAUCUCCCCACUUUUAGGGCUGUGAAACUGUUCUGUAUGAUACAAUAAUGGUGGAUAUGCGUCACUAUACAUUCGUCCAAAUCCACAGAAUGUACAACACCAAGAGUGAACCCUACUGUAAACUAUGGACUCUGAGUGACAAUGAUGCAUCAAAUAGGUUCAUCAGUUGUAAUAAAUGCACUGCUCUGGUGCAGAAUGUUGAUGAUGGAGGAGACAGGGGUACAUGGGAAUCUCCGUACCUUCCAUUCAAUUUUGCUAAAACUACUCUAAAAAAUAAAAUUAAAGAAAAAAAAAAGCUCCCCUCUUUCCCCAGUUUUACGAUUUAUUUAUGCUUUGUGAAAUGGAGUCUCACUCUUGACUCCCAGGCUGGAGUGCAGUGAUCUCAGCUCAAUGCAACCUCCACCUCCCGGGUUCAAGAGAUUCUCCUGCUUCAGCCUCCUGAGAGGCUGGGAUUACAGGCGCAUGGCACCAUGCCCAGCUAAUUUUUGUAUUUUUAGUAGAGAUGGGGUUUCACUAUGUUGGCCAGGCCAGUCUCGAGCUCCUGAACUCAAGUGAUCUACCGUACCCGGCCCCCAAUGUUAGUUUUUAAAUAAACGACUAUGUUUAAUUCACAUGCUAACAGGCACCUAGAGAAUACUUUCAAGUAAAAAGAUUAAUGAACCCACUUCGCAUUGAGUUAGCUGGUUGUUUUCUGCCAACCAGGUGUCCCUGCCUGGUCCACAGUUGACCAAGGAUCCCUGCAUCUGCCUCUAGCAACACCCAACACUGUAUGAAGGGCUGAGGGGGUCUGACAGUUCACGUCACUGACAUCCUCUCACUGGUAUUUCGAAUGCCAAGCCAGCCCUCAAAUCAAGUUCACUGGCCUCGACUGAGCUGCCAAGUAUUUCAUACAUGGGGAGGGGGGUUGGGGGGGGGGAGGGUAGGGGGAUCACACAGGUGCCAGGCAAUGAGUAAGAUUAUCCCAGCAACUUCUCCAUGCAGAGAGAAAUGUCUGCAGCUGCAACACUAUUUCUACUCCAGCCUUCUAGACUCCAUGUAGUUUGCCUUUGUUUGAAUGUUUCUAUUUAUCUGAAAUAACCAGAAAUCAUUUUUAUUAUUAUAU